rnacentral:rRNA from 1 species
AUUGAACGCUAGCGGCAUGCUUAACACAUGCAAGUCGAACGGUAGCAGGCCUAGCUUGCUAUGCGCUGACGAGUGGCGGACGGGUGAGUAACGCGUAGGAAUUUACCUUGUAGUGGGGGAUAACCUGGGGAAAGCCAGGCUAAUACCGCAUGAGCCGGAGAGGGGAAAGCGGGGGACUGUAAAAAGCCUCGUGAUACGAGAUGAGCCGGCGUCGGAUUAGCUAGUUGGUAGGGUAAAGGCCUACCAAGGCGAGGAUCCGUAGCUGGUUUGAGAGAACGACCAGCCACACUGGGACUGAGACACGGCCCAGACUCCUACGGGAGGCAGCAGUGGGGAAUCUUGGACAAUGGGGGCAAGCCUGAUCCAGCAAUGCCGCGUGUGUGAAGAAGGCCUGCGGGUUGUAAAGCACUUUCGGUGGGGAGGAAGGCCACAGUGGUAAUAUCGCUGUGGAUUGACGUUACCUAUAGAAGAAGCACCGGCUAACUCUGUGCCAGCAGCCGCCGUAA